CCUACGGGGGGCUGCAGUGGGGAAUAUUGGACAAUGGGGGGAACCCUGAUCCAGCCAUGCCGCGUGUGUGAAGAAGGCCCUCGGGUUGUAAAGCACUUUCAGUGAGGAAGAACGCCUGGUGGUUAAUACCCAUCAGGAAAGACAUCACUCACAGAAGAAGCACCGGCUAACUCCGUGCCAGCAGCCGCGGUAAUACGGAGGGUGCGAGCGUUAAUCGGAAUUACUGGGCGUAAAGCGCGCGUAGGUGGCUUGAUAAGCCGGUUGUGAAAGCCCCGGGCUCAACCUGGGAACGGCAUCCGGAACUGUCAAGCUAGAGUGCAGGAGAGGAAGGUAGAAUUCCCGGUGUAGCGGUGAAAUGCGUAGAGAUCGGGAGGAAUACCAGUGGCGAAGGCGGUCUUCUGGACUGACACUGACACUGAGGUGCGAAAGCGUGGGUAGCAAACAGGAUUAGAUACCCUUGUAGUC
rnacentral:rRNA from 1 species